AACGAACGCUGGCGGCAUGCCUAAUACAUGCAAGUCGAACGAGAAAGUUCCUUCGGGAGCGAGUAAAGUGGCGCACGGGUGAGUAACACGUAGGUGACCUACCUAGUAGAGUGGGAUAACAGUAAGAAAUUAUUGCUAAUACCGCAUAAGUUCGCUGAAAGUGGAAGUAAGCGAAGAAAAGAUGGCCUCUAUUUAUAAGCUAUCGCUACAUGAAGGGCCUGCGGCUCAUUAGCUAGUUGGUGGGUAAAGGCCUACCAAGGCUAUGAUGAGUAGCCGGUCUGAGAGGAUGAUCGGCCACACUGGAACUGAGACACGGUCCAGACUCCUACGGGAGGCAGCAGUAGGGAAUAUUGCGCAAUGGGGGCAACCCUGACGCAGCGAUGCCGCGUGAGUGAGGAAGGCC
rnacentral:rRNA from 1 species